UCCGCACGAGCGCACCCUUAUCCUUAGUUGCCAGCACGUAAUGGUGGGAACUCUAAGGAGACUGCCGGUGACAAACCGGAGGAAGGUGGGGACGACGUCAAGUCAUCAUGGCCCUUACGAGAUGGGCUACACACGUGCUACAAUGGCAUAUACAGAGGGAAGCGAGACAGCAAUGUGGAGCGGACCCCUUAAAGUAUGUCGUAGUCCGGAUCGGAGUCUGCAACUCGACUCCGUGAAGUCGGAAUCGCUAGUAAUCGCAGGUCAGAAUACUGCGGUGAAUACGUUCCCGGGCCUUGUACACACCGCCCGUCACACCAUGGGAGUGGGAUGCAAAAGAAGUGGCUAGUUUAACCUUCGGGAGAACGGUCACCACUUUGUGUUUCAUGACUGGGGUGAAGUCGUAACAAGGUAACCCUAGGGGAACCUGGGGUUGGAUCACCUCCUU
rnacentral:rRNA from 1 species